rnacentral:rRNA from 1 species
GGGGAAUUGUACGGGGACAGAUUAACAGGAUUAGAUACCCUGGUAGUCCACGCCCUAGACGAUGUCAACUAGCUGUUGGGGCCUUCGGGCCUUGGUAGCGCAGCUAACGCGUGAAGUUGACCGCCUGGGGAGUACGGUCGCAAGAUUAAAACUCAAAGGAAUUGACGGGGACCCGCACAAGCGGUGGAUGAUGUGGAUUAAUUCGAUGCAACGCGAAAAACCUUACCUACCCUUGACAUGUCUGGAAUGCCGAAGAGAUUUGGUAGUGCUCGCAAGAGAACCGGAACACAGGUGCUGCAUGGCUGUCGUCAGCUCGUGUCGUGAGAUGUUGGGUUAAGUCCCGCAACGAGCGCAACCCUUGUCAUUAGUUGCUACGAAAGGGCACUCUAAUGAGACUGCCGGUGACAAACCGGAGGAAGGUGGGGAUGACGUCAAGUCCUCAUGGCCCUUAUGGGUAGGGCUUCACACGUCAUACAAUGGUCGGGACAGAGGGUCGCCAACCCGCGAGGGGGAGCCAAUCCCAGAAACCCGAUCGUAGUCCGGAUCGCAGUCUGCAACUCGACUGCGUGAAGUCGGAAUCGCUAGUAAUCGCGGAUCAGCAUGUCGCGGUGAAUACGUUCCCGGGUCUUGUACACACCGCCCGUCGCACCAUGGGAGUGGGUUUUACCAGAAGUAGUUAGCCUAACCGCAAGGGGGGCGAUUACCACGGUAGGAUUCAUGACUGGGGUGAAGUCGUAACAAGGUAACCAAUCU